GGAAGAUCAGCUGGGAAUAAAAGCAAAAGAAGAAAUAGAUGGAACAUUUCACGCAACCACGACCUCAAAUUCGUUUAAUAAGCAAAGAUGGUGGAGAAACAAUCAAAUCAUCAAAUGAAGGCAAAAACCCUACGCCAGCCAACAGAAGUGGAGGCAAAACGUAACGAUUAAUAGGAGAGGAAAAUACCCACCUGACAUAAUAUGAGGAGCAACAUGAAACGUAA